UGUACAGUGUCUUGUUUUAUAGUUUUAUAGUUUAUAGAUUCUUGUUGGAGAUUUUGAUUCAUCUCAGUGAUUUGAAUCUUGAAUUAUUUUUAUUUUUUUUAAGAGUUGUUCAUGACUAAAACUAACUUAUUGUUGUCCCAGUAUAUUAAAAUAUUUAUAUUUAAAUAUUUAAAUAAACAUCUAGGUCAAUGCUACCACAUCAAUGCUAACGCAGUCUCUGUUUACUGCUAUCUCUGCUCUAGGCUCGUUCUGAUUCUGAAAGAACACAGAUACAGAGGAAUGAACUGAUAUGUGUAUCUCUGGCAGACCGAUCUCUCAUUUUUGGAGCAUAUUAAAUGUCUACUAACGCUAUUUGUGGCUAAGUUAUCUCACCUCUGUUAUUGUCUUGAAAUCUUAUCAUCAUCUUUGUUUAAACAGAGAGGCCAGCACAUUCCUGUUCUGUUCCUGUUGUUUCCCCUUCAUCCAAAAUGUUGGUUUGGUGCUCGACUCCAUAGACAACAAACUGAAAAAAAUUAUAAAAAUAAAAUACAGAUCGAUCAUUGUAAUAAGUGUUUUAUUAAGCUUAAAAGUAAGUCAUAAUGUACUGCUAUCUCCUUUUGUGUCUCUUACAAAAAAUAAAGUCAUGUGGGUUUGGAAAGAGAUGAGGGUGGAGGGGCAGAGGAUCAGACAGACAGGAGUAACCAAGACUCAUUUCUACACAGAUGGACAUGUAUAA
ensembl:lncRNA